rnacentral:rRNA from 1 species
CAAUAGCGUAUAUUUAAGUUGUUGCAGUUAAAAGCUCGUAGUUGGAUUUCGGAUGUGAACGACCGGUCCGCCGUUGCGGUGUGCACUGGACGUUCGUAUCUUGUUGUCGGGGACGCGCUCCUGGCCUUAACUGGUCGGGACGCGGAGUCGGCGCUGUUACUUUGAAAAAUUAGAGUGUUUAAAGCAGGCGUUCGCUGUGAAUACAUUAGCAUGGAAUAAUGAGAUAGGACUUUGGUACUAUUUUGUUGGUUUGCGCACCAAGGUAAUGAUUAAUAGGGAUAGUUGGGGGUAUUCAUAUUCAAUUGUCAGAGGUGAAAUUCUUGGAUUUAUGGAAGAUGAACUUAUGCGAAAGCAUUUACCAAGGAUGUUUUCAUUAAUCAAGAACGAAAGUUAGGGGAUCGAAGACGAUCAGAUACCAU